UACGUAGGGGGCAAGCGUUGUCCGGAUUUAUUGGGCGUAAAGAGCGUGUAGGCGGCCAGGUAGGUCUGCUGUGAAAACUCGAGGCUCAACCUCGAGAUGUCGGCGGAAACCAUCUGGCUAGAGUCCGGAAGAGGAGAAUGGAAUUCCCGGUGUAGCGGUGAAAUGCGCAGAUAUCGGGAAGAACACCCGUGGCGAAGGCGGUUCUCUGGGACGGUACUGACGCUGAGGAGCGAAAGCGUGGGGAGCGAACAGG
rnacentral:rRNA from 1 species